UACAGAGGGUGCGAACGUUGUUCGGAUUUACUGGGCGUAAAGCGCGUGUAGGCGGUCAUGCAAGUCGGGUGUGAAAGCCCCGGGCUCAACCCGGGAAGUGCAUUCGAUACUGCGUGACUGGAGUCCCGGAGAGGAUGGUGGAAUUCUCGGUGUAGAGGUGAAAUUCGUAGAUAUCGGGAGGAACACCAGUGGCGAAGGCGGAGACCUGGGCCGAUACUGACGCUGAGGUGCGAAAGCGUGGGGAGCAAACAGG
rnacentral:rRNA from 1 species